GACGAACGCUGGCGGCGUGCUUAACACAUGCAAGUCGAACGGAAAGGCCCUGCUGUUGUGGGGUGCUCGAGUGGCGAACGGGUGAGUAACACGUGAGUAACCUGCCCUUGACUUUGGGAUAACCUCAGGAAACUGGGGCUAAUACCGGAUAGGAGCUCCUGCUGCAUGGUGGGGGUUGGAAAGUUUCGGCGGUUGGGGAUGGACUCGCGGCUUAUCAGCUUGUUGGUGGGGUAGUGGCUUACCAAGGCUUUGACGAGUAGCCGGCCUGAGAGGGUGACCGGCCACAUUGGGGCUGAGAUACGCCCCAACCCCAUCCGGGCGCGACGGGUGGGCGAUCUUACACAAGGGGCGGAACCCUGAUGCAGCAACGCCGCGUGGGUGAUGUCGGCUUUCGGGUUGUAAACCACUUUCGCCUUGCACGAAGCGGAGGUGGCGGAAAUGGGUAAAGAGGCGCCGGCGAAUUGGGU
rnacentral:rRNA from 1 species